rnacentral:rRNA from 1 species
GAUGAACGCUGGCGGCGUGCUUAACACAUGCAAGUCGAACGAAGCACUUUAACCUGAUUCUUCGGAUGAAGGUUUUUGUGACUGAGUGGCGGACGGGUGAGUAACGCGUGGGUAACCUGCCUCAUACAGGGGGAUAACAGUUAGAAAUGACUGCUAAUACCGCAUAAGACCACAGAGCCGCAUGGCUCGGUGGGAAAAACUCCGGUGGUAUGAGAUGGACCCGCGUCUGAUUAGGUAGUUGGUGGGGUAACGGCCUACCAAGCCAACGAUCAGUAGCCGACCUGGGAGGGUGACCGGCCACAGUGGGACUGAGACACGGCCCAAACUCCUACGGGAGGCAGCAGUGGGGAAUAUUGCACAAUGGGGGAAACCCUGAUGCAGCGACGCCGCGUGAGCGAAGAAGUAUUUCGGUAUGUAAAGCUCUAUCAGCAGGGAAGAAAAUGACGGUACCUGACUAAGAAGCACCGGCUAAAUACGUG